UACAGAGGGGGCAAGCGUUGUUCGGAAUUACUGGGCGUAAAGCGUGCGUAGACGGUUAUUUAAGUCGGAUGUGAAAGCCCCGGGCUCAACCUGGGAAUUGCAUUCGAGACUGAAUAGCUAGGGUACGGUAGAGGGAAGUGGAAUUUCCGGUGUAGCGGUGAAAUGCGUAGAUAUCGGAAGGAACAUCAGUGGCGAAAGCGACUUCCUGGACCAGUACCGACGUUCAGGCACGAAAGCGUGGGGAGCAAACAGG
rnacentral:rRNA from 1 species